UAAACAUCGACAGCAUCACUACACUCGCUGUCCGCCUGGGGACUACGAGCGUUAGCUUAAAACCCAAAGGACUUGGCGGUGCUUUAUAUCCACUUAGAGGAGCCUGUUCUAGAACCGAUAAUCCCCGUUAAACCUCACCCCUCCUUGUUCCUUCCAGCCUAUAUACCACCGUCGCAAGCUUACUCCUUAAGGACACCACAGUAAGCUCAACCGGCACUGCCCAAAACGUCAGGUCGAGGUGUAGCGUACGGAGGGGGAAGAAUGGGCUACAUUUCCUAACUCAGGACACACGGAAGAUAGCAUUGAAAAUUGCAUUGAAGGUGGAUUUAAUGUAAGCAGAAA
rnacentral:rRNA from 1 species